rnacentral:rRNA from 1 species
GACGAACGCUGGCGGCGUGCCUAAUACAUGCAAGUUGAGCGCUGAAGGUUGGUACUUGUACCAACUGGAUGAGCAGCGAACGGGUGAGUAACGCGUGGGGAAUCUGCCUUUGAGCGGGGGACAACAUUUGGAAACGAAUGCUAAUACCGCAUAAAAACUUUAAACACAAGUUUUAAGUUUGAAAGAUGCAAUUGCAUCACUCAAAGAUGAUCCCGCGUUGUAUUAGCUAGUUGGUGAGGUAAAGGCUCACCAAGGCGAUGAUACAUAGCCGACCUGAGAGGGUGAUCGGCCACAUUAGGACUGAGACACGGCCCAAACUCCUACGGGGGGCAGCAGUAGGGAAUCUUCGGCAAUGGACGAAAGUCUGACCGAGCAACGCCGCGUGAGUGAAGAAGGUUUUCGGAUCGUAAAACUCUGUUGGUAGAGAAGAACGUUGGUGAGAGUGGAAAGCUCAUCAAGUGACGGUAACUACCCAGAAAGGGACGGCUAACUACGUG